rnacentral:lncRNA from 1 species
CCUCACGGUAGCUUAGAAAACUUGGAAAUGGUCUUGCGGAUCAAGCAGCUGGACUGUCUAAUUUUACAGAAGACCCGGAAGCCCAAAGAGGGCCUGCUCCUGCCGGGGGGUCCAGCCUGGCGCUGGUGUCAGAGCCCACUCUAGAGGCCCAGCUCUCGGACUUCUAGGCGGCAGGGCAGAGUCGUUUGUCCCCAGCAGGCUGGCUCUGCAAUGCCCGGCCACUGACACUCCCGGGACCUCCCAACGCCUACUUGAGCUACAGAGACAAAUCCAGGGGCCACUCUGUUCUUGGCCCCUUUUAGGGGAUGUGCCACAGGUCACAGCUGAACGGUGGCUCAAAGAGCUUGGCCACUGCGCUCUGAUACUUCCUCUCCGAAGAUGCCUCCAGACUGGGCGUCUGUGCCCUUCCCUGUGCAGGUGGCCAGAGAGGCAACGCCGGACAGACAGCUGGACACACAGCCUCGCCGCCAGGUAAGAGAAGAGGUCACUUUCUGGCAAAUCCAGCGACCUCGGAAGGGAAACGCCAUCGCCGGCACGAUCCGCACGACACACCCGGAGAGUAUGGAGCCCUGCCGAGCCCGCCUCAGGCGCUGCCAACGCUCCAGGGGCCCCGAGGAAUCUGGGGAACCAAAGCACUUGAAGCUAACAGAGACCAGUCUGGGGAGCUCAUGA